rnacentral:sRNA from 1 species
UUUCCUGCCUGUCUGGAACUGCAUGAGUGGAGAAGGGUAGCUAAGCCAAGCAAGCCAGCAAGCAGAAAGAAGAAAGCACAGUGUCCUGUGGGGUCAUCGGCACGUCUUCCGGAUGUGUGGACAUGCCGGAGCCCCUCUCUUCUGGAUGCACCAUGAAGGACAUUUGGUCACUAUAUUCGGAAACAAUGUUUUAUCUUCCCAAGUCCUUCCUCACUGCCUCGUAAGUACACUAUGAAAA